CCACACCUAUGCUCUUAGGCCGUUUUGUGGUUCUGUGCCUUUAAAUGAGGAAAAUCAAGGAAUGCAUAGGAUCUGCUGCCAGGCAGUGAAGGAAGGGUUGAGGUGGUGAGUUGCUAGGCAGCAGAAGGUGCAGCAUUCUCUCUGAGAAACAGUCAGCGAGACACGCGGGCUACCUAGAGCAUUUCAGAGCUGCUCUGAGCCUCUCUCUCUCUGGUUGUGGGAGGAGCUUCAGCAUGAAACCCAAGUUACAGCGAGCACGAAAUUUGAAUGACACAGCGGGACACAGAUUGAGGACACAUGGCCCUGAAGCCCAGGAUGUCUGAAGCUUCCCACACAGGGGAAUAGGGAGGAAAAACAACAAUGCCUCACUCCUGGGAAACCUUCAUGAAUAUAUUACCUGAAUCAGACUCUAAUUAAUGAUGCACCCAAGAUGUCUACCUUCAAGCUGUGCUACAGCUCACUACUGCAGUCAUACUUCAACCUUAUCAUGGAUGUAAUUAAUUUUAAAACUCUUAUUGUAUGGAACAAUAUUACACUGCUGAAAUUAUACCCAAGAGGUCAUGGUCUCUAACAAUAAAUUGUCAUACAAUUAGCUCCA